GAUGAACGCCGGCGGCGUGCCUAAUACAUGCAAGUCGAGCGAAUGGAUUAAGAGCUUGCUCUUAUGAAGUUAGCGGCGGACGGGUGAGUAACACGUGGGUAACCUGCCCAUAAGACUGGGAUAACUCCGGGAAACCGGGGCUAAUACCGGAUAACAUUUUGAACCGCAUGGUUCGAAAUUGAAAGGCGGCUUCGGCUGUCACUUCUGGAUGGACCCGCGUCGCAUUAGCUAGUUGGUGAGGUAACGGCUCACCAAGGCAACGAUGCGUAGCCGACCUGAGAGGGUGAUCGGCCACACUGGGACUGAGACACGGCCCAGACUCCUACGGGAGGCAGCAGUAGGGAAUCUUCCGCAAUGGACGAAAGUCUGACGGAGCAACGCCGCGUGAGUGAUGAAGGCUUUCGGGUCGUAAAACUCUGUUGUUAGGGAAGAACAAGUGCUAGUUGAAUAAGCUGACACCUUGACGGUACCUAACCAGAAAGCCACGGCUAACUACGUGCCAGCAGCCGCCGCAG
rnacentral:rRNA from 1 species